AGAUUGGGAGGAGGGGUUUAGAGAAGAGAAAGGAAAAAUUUAUUUCUGUAUAAAUAAAAGAAAGAAUAAACCAAGACCAUUUUUUCCCUGUAUAAUUAGUAUUUUUAAUUGAAUUAAAAUGUCAUUGAACUAUAUUAUUUAUUUAAAUUUAUUAAUGGUUGUAAGUGUUGGUGAAGUACAAUUUCAGUAGUGGAUAUCGACCGAUAAGUCAAAGUUUACUAGCAUCGUACUUCUCAUUCAAUAUUUUGUGGAAACAUAUUAUGACAUAGCAGAAAAGCUGGCAAAGCACGACUUCAUUUCUAAUGCGCAAGUAAUUUUUUGAAUAAAAAAAAAAUUGGAAAUUAUGGAAAGUAAAUUUGUCGUAAUUGGAGACUUUUCUGUAAAUUAAAGCUUUGUAAUACAGGAUGCUGAUCAAUGUUUUCAUUGAAAUUCCUUACAUGUGACAAUACACCACUGGUUAUUAUUAUUUUUUUUAAUGGGAAUUUAUUGUAUGACACUGUCAUACAAUAUAUUGCAUAUCAGCUGUCCCAGCUGAUAAAUUAGAUGACUAAGUAUCCUUCAUUAAUCGUUUUUGAUCCUCUACCAUACGUAGUCCUGAUUUUUCUUCUUUUUUCGAAAGUUUUAUAUCUUCUCCAACCAAGUGACUUGAUUUUCUCUGUUGAUGCAUGGACAACUUAUCUUGUUCAGUUUUUAUAAAUGGUAUGCAUCGAUAUUUCUUAUGUUAAAUAAAUCAUCCAAAAUAUUUAAUAAAUUCUUCCCUACGACGAUUGAAGGCAUCCUUCAAUUUCUUAAAAAUUUUUUUUAUGUAUCUCCAAGAUUGAUACAACUGAACGGGUUUUUUCACAAUAUUGAACAAAGAAUUGGUAGGUGCUCUUGCUUUUCCCCAGAAGAUAACACACUCACAAACAGUAAAAUUAACACUUUGAUUCACAGACAUAUUCACUUCACGAAUGUUAUGAAAUAAAACUUUAAGAACUUGUCCAAUAGGAAGAAGUUUUGAACCCAUUACUUGAUGUUUUGUAUCGCCCAUUAAAUAAAACUUUUUUUUGGAACUACGUAAUUACACAUCUAUUUUGUUGAUGGAGGAAUAAAUUUGAGUUUGGGUACAAUCUAAAUUAUGCAUAAAAAACCAGACAUUCUUGAAGACAAACGGUGCAUUAAAGAUAAUUCAUAUCUUUAACUUUUUGUCAUGGUUUGGCCUGAUUGCUUUUAAUAUAAUUAUAAAACCUCAAAUAAUAGUUAAUAUUAUGUCUCUGAUGUACAAGAAUAGAUAUUGAAUGGUCUUCGGAGUGCGAUACAACCAAACAUUGGCUUCCUGACUGAGAAAUUUAGCUUAUGGGAUUACAGAGACUAUCUGUUGCUGUGAAUAAGUGGAGAAAAAAAAAUUAAAUCCCCUUCUUUAUACGGUCGUGUAAUUUCAAACUUUCUACCUGCAGAGGCGACAAUAGACGACAAGUCUCUCAGAAUUGUUCUAAUAAAGUUGAUGAAUCUUAUUGAAAAACCAAAUUUCGUUAAUACACCGAAGAUAAAUUUAUGAAAAAUUGAGAAAAAGUCUUUGUUGAAAUCAACUCGCGACACCACAAAUUUCUUCUCUUCCUUCAUAGAGCAAUCUAUAGAAUCAUGAAUUGAGCGAGUUAUAUCUUUUCCCUUUCAUGAAAUCCUUUUGCGGUCAACUAAUGAUGGACUGUAGAAUUUUGACAAGUCUUUUGUAGGAUACCUGUAAGUAUUUUGUAUGACUUAUUCAUAAGCUUUAUCGAUCUACAGUUUGUGAGAUUGAAACUGUCUACAUUUUUUUAGAUAACAAUGUACAAUAUAACAUAGAUUUUGGAACUAAACUUUGAGUUAUGAAUUUUGCGAUAGAAUCCCUAGAGAUUUGGAGAGAGUUUCUCGCUAAGCCUUGAAUAAAACUCAAUUAUUGUCAUGGAUUAAUUUUUAUGUAUUGAUUCUUUGAAAUAAAAUUUUGUAAUAUUUGAUGUAAGAUUACAAGCUUUCCAUCUUAAAUAAAGGAUUCCUAUGAAGUUCACCUAAGGGUAAAUCUGAUCCACGGGGAGGAUGACCGAAUGAAAAUUUAUCCGAUUAAAAGAACCAAUCCAAGCUAAGCCCCAUACGACAAUAGAGUCGAUUCCUUCCUUAGGUAGGAAUCUAUCCAUCCAUAUAUAACAAUGAAUAUAUAAAAACUAUGACGGGAUCAUUUUAUUUUCAGACUCAGAUAAAAGGCUUUAGAUGUGAAAUAUAAAAUAAAGAUAUUCUAAUUAGGUACUUCAACAAUAUGAAGUUAUAACCAUAAAACUAAAAUGUAUAACAAUUGGGGCAUUCCAUGUUAAGUGUACAAACAAAUUAGAAUUUUUUGGCAUGGCCAUCACCAAUUUUGAUAACCUUUAGUCAAGUUGUCUAUUCAAGGUAAUUAAAUAAAAGAUGAGACAACAAGGAUCUUGUAAGGCAGUCUAGUUAUCGUUAGCUGACGUAGUGACGCCACUGUCGCAGUAGUUCAGAUAAUUUCAUUGAAGUGAAGUGCACUAAUUAGAAUCUGUUUAGCAAAAAUGGCAUCAUCUCGAGGUUCAAAGCAUGUUUUUGUCAUGACCUGCUGUCCAAAUCCACGGGAUGCCCAGUAUUUUGUAUUUACUUAGAAAAAAUUAAUGCUCCAUCAUCUUUGGAUUAAUUUAGAAAAAAAUAUGUGACUUCAUAUCAGUUAAAAGCAUGUCACUGUUUUUCCGUUUCAAAAUUGAUGCUUCUGUUCUUCGUUAAUCUCCUUCUUUACAGGAUAGUAGUUCUGGUUACAUUGAAGCUCAAAUAAAAAUUCAAAGCUUAGAGCAAUUAUUGAUACGGCUGAGAGAGCAGUCAAGUUGAGGAAAGUCUUUUAUGGUUUAAUUACAGCGGAUGAGGAACAAAAGUAAUUUCUACAACGUUACGUUCAUGAACAGAAGGAAAUAUACCAUGUCUGUAAAAUAAAAACAGUUAAAAGAAAGUAUGUCCAAUGACAUUUAUAUAUUGUGUUAUGCACGUAUCAAACAAUUCAAUCAUAACCGAUGAAAUUUAAUUAUUAUCAAAAAUGCAAAAAAACAAGUUAAAUAGUUUAAAAAUGAUUUGUGUAACAUAUUACGCUCAAUAACUACAUUAAAGUGUUUUAUGUCUUCUUCUAAAAAUAUAAAUUUUCAUAAAACUUUAUUUUAUUUUGUAAAUAUUUUAAAUGUGAAACUUAAUAAUAUAAAAUAGUUCUUAUAAAUUCAAAUAGUGUGUAUUUACUAAUUCUACUGUAUUAAUGUCUUAUUUUAUUCAGAAUGUUGCCAAGAAAACGUGAGGUAUUAGUUAUUAGACUCAAUUGGUCGUAGCUAGAUCCUUAAUCUUCGAGCAUAAGGAUAUGAAGAGGUAUUAUUA
rnacentral:lncRNA from 1 species